CUUGAUGAAGUGUGCUAUCUGAUUGAUUUGUAUGGAGGUUCUAACUAUGCUUCUUGUGGUUUACAUGAUGAAUAUCGAAAUAUUCAACAAAUCUUACAAUAUAGAGAGAAAACAUUUGAAGAAUGUAAGAAUGAGCAUCAUGAUCAACAGGCUAAUCAACAAAUUAAAGAUAAAGAAAUUGAAGAUUUUGAAGCAUGGAAAGAAACACAUCUAUAAUAAUUGAGAGAAUAGUUAGAUACAGUAAAAAGUAUUAAAAAUAUAA
rnacentral:misc_RNA from 1 species